rnacentral:rRNA from 1 species
UGAGGAACCUGCCCCAAACUUUGGGAUAACAGUUGGAAACGACUGCUAAUACCAGAUGCCGUUACUUUGUCGCAUGGCGAGGUAACGAAAGUUUUUCGGUUUGGGAGGGCCUCGCGGCCUAUCAGCUUGUUGGUGAGGUAAUGGCUCACCAAGGCAACGACGGGUAGCUGGUCUGAGAGGAUGAUCAGCCACACUGGGACUGAGACACGGCCCAGACUCCUACGGGAGGCAGCAGUGGGGAAUCUUGCGCAAUGGGCGAAAGCCUGACGCAGCAACGCCGCGUGCGGGAUGAAGGCCUUAGGGUUGUAAACCGCUUUCAGCAGGGAAGAAAAUGACUGUACCUGCAGAAGAAGGUGCGGCCAACUACGUGCCAGCAGCCGCGGUGACAC